UUGGGGUUGCCUUAUUGUGGAGUGCUUUCCUUGAUUUAGGAGUCGUAUGAGUUCAUGGUGGUUGUCGCCGGCGGGGCUGGCUCGCCUCCUCUGCCUCCUUGCCGGCGUGGCGGUUUGCAAGAUGAUGUUGACUGCCGUCGCAUCUCAUGUACGUGGUGGACUGGUGAGCGGUCUAGCUCCUUUCGGCAGUGCGUGUUUGGGGCCGUGGUAGGCCUUCAGUUCGUAAGCAGGGUAAGGUUGAGUCUGCCGUUCCUCAUGUCCUGCCCGCGAUCGAUGCACCUUUGAAAGUAAUCUUUCCACUAGCGGUAUCGACGCCACAUCUGCUAUAUUUGACUAGGGAGAGGUGCCCCAACUCCACCCCUACAGGUUGUCGUCAAUUGCACCGAUGCUUGGGCCAUGCUAGGUUUGCACCCAUCAGCCAAUCAAAUUUUCACCUGCUAUUUGGGUUUCUUCGGUUGUAGGUGUACUAGAUAUUUUUUAUGGUUUGUUGGCAUGUUCAUAUUGUCCAUCGACUCAGCCUACAAUUGCAGGGAACAUCGCUGUGAUCUGGCCAAUCUCGCGAGCUCUAUUAGCGGUGCACAAGAAGGACUUUUGUGCAAUUUUAUUCUUGAAUCGAUACAGCACGAACAUUGCAACUGAGGCAAUCAUGCAUUAAGUUACAUGUGGAUUGUUUCCAGACUACAUAGGCAUCAUCUUGCCUCUGUGGGAAAACUAAAAUUUUGCUACAAUUUUCUUGAGGUGGUUGCCCUCGGCCAGAUGAGGGCGUUUAUGCUGGCAGCCUCAAUAUAUACAGUUCGUUCCCAGAUAUGCCACCACUCCACCACCAGCCCGGAGGGCAUACCUCCAAGAUCCACCUUCCUAUUUUGAUGUUUUCUGUCUUUUUUGUCACAAUUGUUAGUUCUUUGGAAUUUGGAUACAAUGAAAAUUGUAAGUGUUUUUUUAUUCAUCCUAUCUCCACUUUCAGGUUGAAUUAUGUUGUUUAACAAUCCACAUGAUUAGAUUUGUUUACAUUUACUUUAUUAGAAGCUCAGUAUUGUAUCUAACAAUUUGUAGCAGACAUAGACUUUGAGGCUAAGUCGUCAUGUUAUGGCCGUUCAAUCGGCACGGUAGCUCGGUAUUGUAUCUAACAAUAUGGCCAACUAUGUUUGUAAACCCUGGAUUUUUCUGCCCUGCUUAGACUUUCAGACUAAGGCAUCAACGUACAGUCGUUUAUUUUACUUGGUUAAUUAGAUGGAAAUGGAAGAUGAAGAACUUGAUUUUGGUUGAUUCGAAUCUUGGAUGCCCAACUCUCAUUUCCUGUCUAUGUAGCUCUUCUGUUGUUCUUGUCCGUAUUUACAUGCUCCUUUUCUUGGAACUGUUUCUAAUUUAUGCUUGCUACCCUCUUAUUUAUUUGGUUUGAGAGAACUUAACCAUUGACAAUAUGAAUUGUAGGGUUAGGCCUGAAGAUUGUGUACUAGAUGUUCAAGGUAUGAUGUUGUGCAAUUUUUACUCCAUAUGUGUUUUUUCUCACGAAAUUAUUUAGUUCAUUUGGAAAUAAGUUGUUUGGCAAUGUACACUACACAAGUACAACAUGAUUAGAUUACAGUAUGACAUGCCGGGCGGCCCGCUGCCGGUAUUUUGAUAAUACCAUGGUCAUCACUCAUCAUUAUGCAUCUCACUCUUUUGUUUCUGAACUCUGCAGGCUGUUCUUAUAUGGCAAGAACACCUGGACUGGAGAGGAGGAGUUGUGUGGGGAUGUUGAUGGAGUCUUGAGGCUCAGGAAAAGUGGAUAAGUCAUUUUUGACUGUUACAUGACUAUGAGUUUAGUUUGGUUCUCUCUAUUACUUAGCUAUGUAAGUCACAGCUUUGUGCCUGUAGUGACGACAAUUGGGUUACUAUCAAGGCCGCUGACACAUUAGGUUGUCAAUUUGGACAUUAGGUUCUCAAUUUGCCAAAUAGGGCUGAGAAUUUUAUCUCCUGAAUGAUAGUGAUAUACUCUACUGAAACAUAUUGGUUAACAGAAUCAUGCCUUUCCUAUUUGUUGAUGUUAAAACUUUGAUCUGUUGCUUUAA